UUGCUUUAGCAGCACAUAUGCUUAAACUGGAACGAUACAGAGGUGAUUAGCAUAGCCCCUGUGCAAGGAUAAUAUGCAAAUCUGUGAAGUGUCUCAUAUUUUU
ensembl:snRNA U6 U6 spliceosomal RNA